GCAGCGAAGAAUUAGUUGCAAAGCGGCUUUCUUGCGGGCAACAUCGAGCGAUUCGAGGAACGGCAACCAAAACGAACCGGAGAAGAUUGCCACGCGAAAAGAAAAAUUGGUGCUAAGACCCCGCUAAAAGAAAAAAAAGAAAACAAAAAAGCAACCCCAUCAAAACCGCAAAACUGCAGAAGAAAAUUGCUCAAAAACACGCAUAAAAAGAUACAAAGUUCCCAUUUAAGUGCCGGCCACUUAACACCGUCGAAUUGAAUCGAAUCCGAGAUGCUCACGAGACAGCCCGACUACACCAUCUCGGAACUGGGCCAUCCCAUCCACCAGUGGCCGGAUUCGAGCAUGUGCGAGUCCCUCAAGAAGCUGGACUACAGAAAGAUGCCAAGUUCCCCGCCUUCACCGCAUCGCCUCCUGCCGCUGAGGGAAACCCUGGACGAUUGUUUCAAGCGGCUGACGAUGAGGAGCAGAGAAGAUUUCGAAGAGGAUCCCGUUUGCCAGCAGAAACAGCGAAAGAAUCAGUGGAACGAACAGCAGCGAAAGCGCAGCAAUCAAAAAUGUCGAGAUAAAGGCGAGUCAACGACGACAACGAUAGCGACGACCUGCGAUCUGAACAAUUUUUGAGAUUGGAACGAGUGGAGAAUAUAUACCUAUGGGGGAGCCAACCCAAGCGGACUGAUUAAAUGUGCUAAAAUAAAACACCUUUUGCCUAGAACAUUAACCACGCAGUUAGCAUACGAAAAUAUUCUCAAAUGGAAUUUCAACGGGCCCAUUAAAUUGUAAACAAAACGCGGAGAAGAGUAGUGAAUUCGACAGAAUAGAACAGAAUAGAACAGGCUGGCAGCCAAAAAUGGUGGGGAGACAUUGGGGCAACCUUGAUCAUGAGCACGUCGUCAGGGGGCCAACAAAUUAAGGCUCGGACGUGCUUUCUUUAAAUGGCUAAACGCGUGCGAUCCAAGUAGAUCUGAAUUCGCAGCGGAAGAAUCUGCGAUCAUCUAAUGCUGAUGGAAGUCUGAAGUUGUUUAUGGAGUGGAUGGCGAAAUGGAGGAACAUCUAGCGAGU